GUCUCAUGCGUUUCCCCUGUUGUGACUAAAGGACACUCUCCAUCAGCACUCAACAUCAUAACAAACACUCACACUUUAAUGAGCACAGAGUAACCAAAAAUGAGUCGUGAGUCACAUUUCACCCCAAGAUCAAAAGAAAUUAUAAAUGCAAUAUGCAUGAGGAAAAUGAAGUCAGUUUUGGACUGAAUUUGAAGUGUACUUUAAUUUUAUGCACUGACAAGAUUUUCAUGAUGAUACACUAGUAUUAAAAUACUAUACAUUUAUAACUCACCCCAAUGUAACAUUUAAUUUUCAUUUGCAAAUUAGCAAAAAUCGUUCUUGAAUCGAAUCAAAAACCUAUGAAUCGUGAAAUGAAUCAAUUCACUGUCUACCCAAAGUUCACAGCACUACUCAAAAAAUAGAUAUUUAAACUGAAGAGUACAUUUCCAGUUAAAGUCAAAUUGUAUCCAUACAUGAUGGCAGAAUUUUUCAGAAUUAAAUAACUUAAUACAACUGUCUUAAAGGAAUAGUUUACACAUACAUGCAAACUUUCUGAAAAUGUUCUCAUCCCCAGGUUAUCCAAGGUUAUGCGGUGAAUGGGUGCCAUCAGAAUUAGAGUCCAAUCAGCUGACAAAAACAACAAUAAUCCACAAUAUAACUUUGAUACCAACCUAACUUUAGAGCUUUAGUAUUUAGAAUAACCAUAUGAAUGAAUAUUUGUCUUUUUAACUGAACUUAAGACUGGCGAUGAUGCUUGAAAUAUUGUUUGUCAUGCAUUUCUAAAAAGGAAAAUAUAAACUCUAAUAACCCAAGUUUGGGUUGAAAAUUGGUCUUGAUCAUAACACAGUGGCGCUGGGUUGGAAAUGCGGACGUGAAGGAGUGCACGCACGUCACAAUAAACUUGGGCAUCUCCAUUCCAGACGCAGUUUUCGCCUCUGAUGUCAUAAAUGGAGAAGUGGAGGUCUUAAUGGCCUCUUUUACUGAACGGAAGAGAAGCCUGCUUUUGUGAGGAGGAGGCGGUUUUCUCAGCUUCUUCAGAAGAGAGGACGAACUCAGACUAACUUUGGAGCUAAGGACACAGAAGCCUGCUUGUGUGAGGAGGAGGAGAUUUUCUCAGCUUCUUCGGAAGAGAGGGAAAGACAGUUUAAGGUAAUUGAACUUCAUAAUUUCAUGUUAUCAUUUUUUUUUUUUUUUUAUGAGAAGUUAAAAUGCCUUGACAAAAUAUUCACUUCACAAGGUGUUAUUUGAAGGACUGUUGACGUGCGAAUUACAUGUGGAUUACUGUGAUGUUUUGAUGAACUCUAAUUCUAACGGCACCCAUUGACCACAGAGAAUCCACUGAUGGGCAAGUGAUGCAGUACUAAAUUUCUCCAAAUCUUUUCUGAUGAAGAAAGAAAUGCAUAAGGGUUAGUAAAUGUUCAGCAAAAUGCCAUACUAUUCCUUUAAAACAUUUUAUGUAAAAUGCAUUUCUAUCGAAUUUGGGGUGAAAUAUGAAAUAUGUCUAUUUGUGACAUUCACUCAAACAUCAAGGAAAGCAUACAGAUGUUGACUCAUUCUCAGCAGUGCUGUCAAAAUGACUACACAAGUGCAGCCCAGAAUAGGCUGACAGAGGCAGGUGAGUGAAGGGUUAAUGUACACACACUCCUGCACGCUUUCACCCCCAACACUUCAAAGGUAAGUCAUUUCUCUGCUCGGUCUCUGCAUCUGCCAAACCCAGAGCCUCUUAAGAGCUGCUUUUGACUGUUGUGGUUGUAAAAAAAAAUAAAAACCAACU